CGCUUUCCCAUUUUAGGCCGCGGCAGGGAGGCGGCGGGAGUGGUCGGUUCCUCUCUUGUGGGGGGGGAGGGGAAGGUGGUGAGCCGCGGGGCCGUGCCUCGGCAGCGGGCCCUCGUGGAGGCGGUAGGCCUGGGCGGCGAGCCCUUUCUAGUGCUCCGAAGAGGUAGCGCGUUGUUUCGUCUUCGCAGCCCCUCGAGUGAUGGCGGUGACGGUCGCUCCCUCUCCCGCUCGGCCGCGAUGGCGGAGCGCGCCCGGCCGGGCCCGGAAGUGAAGCGCUCACGGAGGGUCCCUCUGGCGGCGCUCGGCGGAACCGCUCGGGCCGGGAAGGCGCUGAGGCGGCUCGUUGGGCUUCAGCAGAAAAAACUCUUGUCCAUCUGGGUGUAGCUGUUCUUGGCACAGGAAGUUCUUGGCGCAUCACUCAUCUAACUACUAUGAGCAAAAGGAUUUCUUUUUUUUUUUCUGCAUAGUAAGUCAGCAGGAGGGGUGACUUGUUCUUUUAUGGCAUUUAAACUACCUAAGAAUGUCAAGCUCAGCAGCACGCCAAGCAGCGUAAACAUGGGCAUGAUGUCUGCUAUAAUGGAAUGAAAAAGCUGUACUCUUGGCAAGCCAGGGACUACUUCUAAUUUUGGAUUAAAAUAACUUUUCAUUGAAACGUGAACUUCAGAACUCAAGGUUGCACUGUGAGAGUGAAAUUUUGCGUGUCAGUGUUAAAUAUUUCUGAGAAUUCAAUCUAGCUUGUCUAUAUCGGAUCCUUGCAGUUGUGCUUCUUCCUUCAGAACGUGACCUCUUACAGGGAAGGGUUUGUCAUGAGUGGAAAAAAUGAGUAGCAGAACUUCCUGUUGUGAGCCACUCUGUCAUGAACCGCUUUGUCAUCUUUUCAAAACUAACCUUCACUAUUAAGUUAUGAGAUGAACAUUCCUGAAAUGCUAAAAAUAAGGAUUCUUCUUCUAGCGUGAAGCUUCUUUGUAUGUAAUAAAAUAUUGUGUUACUUCGUAAGAUUUCAGAUGUUCAGGAGACGUCAAGCGUUUUAUUUCCUGUUUCUAGUGUUUACUUCUUCCUUUUCAGAAAUUCUUCCCCUUGCUGUUUCUAUUCUGUGACUAAAUAUGCAAUAUUUUUCCAGUGGUUGCUGAGCAAACAUCUGCUUCGUGGUUCAGAAUCUGUCUGCAUGGAACUGCUGUUUCUGUACAAAUGAAUGUCAGAACAACGCCUCUGUAUGUGGACUUAGUGACUAACUAAUUGCAACGGGGAAUGCAACAUACCUAGUUGUACAUCACAUCAGAGCAGUGAUUCAUCAGCUGCUGAAUAACUAUCAGUGGGUGAGUGAUCCUUGGGACAGGAAGGAUUUUAAUGUCCAUUCUACCCUUAUUUGUUGUUGGAUCUGUGUAUUUCUAAUCCUUUCUGUGGUGGAAGGAUGACUUUAAGCUCAGAGAUAAACAAUUGUAUGGACCAGCUUUCUUCUGUGUUCCAUUAGAGCAUGUACUUUGGGUCUCAAGCAAUGGUAUUUGCCUUUAAUGCUUUGAAGUUGUGUUCCAGCAUGGCAAGAACUGCAGUUGUGCAUUCCAAGUGGGUAUGUGACUUUCUGUUCUAUUAUGUAUUCCCAUAAAUGGCCAGAGCCCAGCCUAAGUAGGUUACUUGUUAAGCCCAAAGCAAGAAAUGCUGCCGUGGUGUGGGCUUAUUAUGCCUUUCUGGCAUCUUCAAAACUAAAACUUCCCAGUACUCUUGGCAGAAAUCAUAAAAAUGAAUGUUAAGAAUCACCUCUUGCUGCAAUCAAUGAUUCAGAGAUUUUCUGCCUUACUGGGGAUGUUUAUUAGCCAUGCAAUAUACUUCUGCAUUUCUAUGAUAAACUCAAAAGGAACCAUUUCCAGGCCAAGCAAGCUCCCUUCUUCAGAGAAGGGGAUCCAAGCUCUAUUUCUGUAGGAAGGCAUUGCUGGUUCUACUGAAGUCUGGUUCUAGGAGCCUUCAGAGGCUGCUGUUACAGGCUGCUACUGCUAGGUCUGAGUUUAUCACAUUGAGCCUGCAUCUGUUUUAAUCAGAGGCACUAAUUUGGCUGCCCUAGUCACCUGGCAUGUUAAAAGGUGGGAGCAUGUGGCUGCUGCCUUGGGUAGCAGUUCUUACAGGCCUUCCACUCCGCAGAGGCUGAGCAUAUGUACUUUCUCAGACAUGCCCUGGGUGUACAGCCACAGGAGACUGGAAGCUUUCCAAUCUUUCUUCUAGGUACCUGGUCAGCUGUUGAUCUCUGAGCUUAAGCCUGACUCCUAGAUACUGUUUAAGCCUGAAGGGUAAGGAAGUAUCUAUAAAUACAGCUAGACCCAGUAACAUGACUUGUAAGACUGUUACAUUUCCACUACCUAGUUUUGAAUGGCUCUGAAGGGAUUAGAAAGGUGUAGCCACUUACAAGGAUAGCUCGCUAUUUUCAUUUAGCAGUUUGUCAGCAAGGUUUCAGGUUUAGAAUCAAGGAGUCAUGUUGUCGCAUUAAAGCAAGUGGAAGAUGAGUCCUCAGCAAAUGCUUUAGGCUGCCAAUUAGUUUACUGACUGGCUUUCACUGACUCAGAAGAGCUGAAUCAGCAAUAAGCUUCAGUAGUAAAUUCAGACUGAAUGCAACAUAACUGAAGCCUGACUGUGCAACAACUAUACUGUUGCCUCAGGAGACAACAGUCAAGGAAGCUGUUCAUCAAUCAUGAUUAAUCUUACUUGAGGGAGGCCUGAGAGAGAGUUGUAACAUAGUAUGACAGCUGUGCUUAGCUGGAGAGGAAAGGGUUCCAUGUAGCUUGCUUGACUCCAGCCCAGACUUAAGCCUGAGACAGUCAUUAAGCAUUGACACAGACCCAUCUAUCUCCAUGUCCUUCACCUUGCCACACAAAAGAAACAACCUGUAUCCUAUAACCCCAUUAGAAAAGCGACUGCAGAACCAUGGGUGCUUUUUUAAAAUUAAACAAACUAUUCAAACAAAAAGGAGUUUUAAAAGGGCUGGUCACUACUAAUAUGCUUCAGUACUAUAUAUGAUUUGUUAGGAAAGCAUGCAUUUCAGACUAAAGAUGACCAUUAGAAUUUUAGUUAUGUGUACAAGAUCUCCAUUUGGGAAUGGUAAACAGAAGAGUGUGGUACUUUGUGUUUCAAGACUCUAAGUGACUAAGCUAAAUCUGGUUUGUUUUCCUAAGAACAAGGAAGAGAAAGCAUGAAAGAUUAUUUUUAGCUCCUAGGAAGAUCAGCAAUGGAUUUGGAACUGAUUUAGGGAACUACAGUGGAGAAGCUGUGAAUAAAUGUAAAGCUGAGAUCUGUUAAGCUAUAUAACUGGAAAAAAACACCAGAAAGUAAACAGUAACACAAGGACUACUUGGAAUUAUUUUAAAUUGGUCCUAUUCUGGGCUUAAUACUUCCAAUUAAAGUGUUUUCCUGGAGGCUGGCUGAAGUUGUCAGCUGCAUACAUCACCUAAACUGAUAAUGAGCUCACUUACAGCUUGAUAUGUUAUCUCUUCUGCCAAGAAUUGGAAACUGCUGCUGUGACAACUAAAAACGAGGACCCUGGUUGGUUAAUCCAGGAACAAUUGUAAACAAGAGACAUGUCAGAUUCCAAACAGCUGGUUUUCCUGUG